UACGUAGGGUGCGAGCGUUGUCCGGAAUUACUGGGCGUAAAGGGUGCGUAGGUGGUUUCUUAAGUCAGAGGUGAAAGGCUACGGCUCAACCGUAGUAAGCCUUUGAAACUGGGAAACUUGAGUGCAGGAGAGGAGAGUGGAAUUCCUGGUGUAGCGGUGAAAUGCGCAGAUAUCAGGAGGAACACCAAUGGCGAAGGCAGGUCUCUGGGCAGUUACUGACGCUGAGGAGCGAAAGCAUGGGUAGCGAACAGGAUUAGAUAUCCCU
rnacentral:rRNA from 1 species